AAUACCCCGGUAGACCACUUCUCCUGGAAUGGUUAGUGGUUAAAAUGAUUCGUCGCCAUAGGAUGGGACUGCGGCCUAUCAGCUUGUUGGUGAGGUAAUGGCCCACCAAGGCGAUUACAGGUACGGGCUCUGAGAGGAGAAGCCCGGAGAUGGGUACUGAGACAAGGACCCAGGCCCUAUGGGGCGCAGCAGGCGAGAAAACUUUGCAAUGUGCGAAAGCACGACAAGGUUAAUCCGAGUGAUUUCUGCUAAAGGAAUCUUUUGUUAGUUCUAAAUAUACUAGUGAAUAAGGGGUGGGCAAGUUCUGGUGUCAGCCGCCGCGGUAAAACCAGCACCUCAAGUGGUCAGGAGGAUUAUUGGGCCUAAAGCAUCCGUAGCCUGUUCUAUAAGUUUGCGGUUAAAUCUAUGCGCUCAACGUAUAGGCUGCCGUAAAUACUGUAGAACUAGGGAGUGGGAGAGGUAGACGGUACUCGGUAGGAAGGGGUAAAAUCCUUUGAUCUAUCGAUGACCACCUGUGGCGAAGGCGGUCUACCAGAACACGUUCGACGGUGAGGGAUGAAAGCUGGGGGAGCAAACCGGAUUAGAUACCCGGGUAGUCCCAGCUGUAAACGAUGCAGACUCGAUGAUGCAAUGGCAUAGAGCUAUUGCAGUAUCGCAGGGAAGCCGUUAAGUCUGCCGCCUGGGAAGUACGUACGCAAGUAUGAAACUUAAAGGAAUUGGCGGGGGACACCACAAGGGGUGAAGCCUGCGGUUCAAU
rnacentral:rRNA from 2 species